rnacentral:rRNA from 1 species
AUUGAACGCUGGCGGCAGGCCUAACACAUGCAAGUCGAGCGAGCGGCGGACGGGUGAGUAAUGUAUGGGGACUGCCCGAUAGAGGGGGAUAACUACUGGAAACGGUAGCUAAUACCGCAUACUAUCGGAUAACCCAUAUGGGAUUAGCUAGUAGGUGAGGUAAUGGCUCACCUAGGCGACGAUCCCUAGCUGGUCUGAGGGGGGGAUCAGCCGUACUGGGACUGAGACACGGCCCAGACGCCUACGGAGGCAGCAGUGGGGAAGAUUGCAAAAGGGGCGCGAGCCUGAUGCAGCCAUGCCGCGUGUAUGAAGAAGGCCCUAGGGUUGGAAAGUACUGUCAGUCGGGAGGCGGUACCGACAGAAGAAGCACCGGCUAACUCCGUGCCAGCAGCCGCGGUAAUAC